CGGACGGGUGAGUAAUGUCUGGGAACUGCCCGAUGGAGGGGGAUAACUACUGGAAACGGUAGCUAAUACCGCAUAACGUCGCAAGACCAAAGAGGGGGACCUUCGGGCCUCUUGCCAUCGGAUGUGCCCAGAUGGGAUUAGCUAGUAGGUGGGGUAACGGCUCACCUAGGCGACGAUCCCUAGCUGGUCUGAGAGGAUGACCAGCCACACUGGAACUGAGACACGGCCAG
rnacentral:rRNA from 1 species